GCCCGAGUAGCUCAGCCGGCAGAGCAACGCACUCGUAAUGCGUAGGUCAGGGGUUCGAGUCCCCUCUCGGGCU
rnacentral:tRNA from 1 species